rnacentral:rRNA from 1 species
CUUGCUUUCUUUUGUCUGGCGACCGGCGCACGGGUGAGUAACACGUAUCCAACCUGCCCUUUACUCGGGAUAGCCUUUCGAAAGAAAGAUUAAUACCCGAUAGCAUAAUGAUUCCGCAUGGUUUCAUUAUUAAAGGAUUCCGGUAAAGGAUGGGGAUGCGUUCCAUUAGGUUGUUGGUGGGGUAACGGCCCACCAAGCCUUCGAUGGAUAGGGGUUCUGAGAGGAAGGUCCCCCACAUUGGAACUGAGACACGGUCCAA